AUGGCCACACGUGGAUGUAGGGUCAUAAAAGAGUCAGGGAAGAGGGAGGGGCGGGUUGCAAUCCGGGCCGGGCGGGACACUGGAAACUGUGAGCAAAAAGCUGAUAUAGGUCUUGCAAUGUGCAUGUCAGGGACAGAAGUUGCUAAAGAAAGCUCCGGCAUUAUAAUCUUAGAUGAUGACUUCACAUCUAUUUUGAAGGGUCAUUGGAAUGGACCAAGUUAUGAAUGUUCCUGA
rnacentral:rRNA from 1 species